UACGUAGGGGGCUAGCGUUAUCCGGAAUUACUGGGCGUAAAGGGUGCGUAGGCGGUCUUUCAAGCCAGAAGUGAAAGGCUACGGCUCAACCGUAGUAAGCCUUUGAAACUGGGAAACUUGAGUGCAGGAGAGGAGAGUGGAAUUCCUAGUGUAGCGGUGAAAUGCGUAGAUAUUAGGAGGAACACCAGUAGCGAAGGCGGCUCUCUGGACUGUAACUGACACUGAGGCACGAAAGCGUGGGGAGCAAACAGGAUUAGAUACCCCCGUAGUCCCUGAGCGGG
rnacentral:rRNA from 1 species